rnacentral:rRNA from 1 species
GAUGAACGCUGGCGGCGUGCCUAAUACAUGCAAGUCGAGCGAACGGAAGAGAAGCUUGCUUUUCGGAUAUUAGCGGCGAACGGGUGAGUAACACGUGGAGAACCUACCUAUAAGACUGGGAUAACUUCGGGAAAACGGAGCUAAUACCGGGUGAUAUUUUGAACCGCAUGGUUCAAAAGUGAAAGACGGUCUUGAUGUCACUAAUAGAUGUAUCCGCGCUGCAUUAGCUAGUUGGUAAGGUAACGGCUUACCAAGGCAACGAUGCAUAGCCGACCUGAGAGGGUGAUCGGCCACACUGGAACUGAGACACGGUCCAGACUCUUACGGGAGGCAGCAGUAGGGAAUCUUCCGCAAUGGGCGAAAGCGUGACGGAGCAACGCCGCGUGAGUGAUGAAGGUCUUCGGAUCGUAAAACUCUGUUAUUAGGGAAGAACAUAUGUGUAAGUAACUGUGCACAUCUUGACGGUACCUAAUCAGAAAGCCACGGCUAACUACGUG